rnacentral:rRNA from 1 species
GACGUAGGGCGCGAGCGUUGUCCGGAUUUAUUGGGCGUAAAGAGCUCGUAGGCGGCUUGUCGCGUCGACUGUGAAAGCCCGCGGCUCAACCGCGGGUCUGCAGUCGAUACGGGCAGGCUAGAGUUCGGUAGGGGAGACUGGAAUUCCUGGUGUAGCGGUGAAAUGCGCAGAUAUCAGGAGGAACACCGAUGGCGAAGGCAGGUCUCUGGGCCGAUACUGACGCUGAGGAGCGAAAGCAUGGGGAGCGAACAGG